rnacentral:tRNA from 1 species
GCGUUGGCAGUUCAGUGGUAGAAUUCUAGCCUUCUGUGCAGGAGACCCGGGUUUGAUUCCCAGUCAAUGCA